UACGUAGGGUGCAAGCGUUGUCCGGAAUUAUUGGGCGUAAAGAGCUCGUAGGCGGUUUGUCGCGUCGAAUGUGAAAACCCGGGGCUCAACUCCGGGCCUGCAGUCGAUACGGGCAGGCUAGAGUUCGGUAGGGGAGACUGGAAUUCCUGGUGUAGCGGUGAAAUGCGCAGAUAUCAGGAGGAACACCGGUGGCGAAGGCGGGUCUCUGGGCCGAUACUGACGCUGAGGAGCGAAAGCGUGGGGAGCGAACAGG
rnacentral:rRNA from 1 species